UACGUAGGGCGCAAGCGUUGUCCGGAAUUAUUGGGCGUAAAGGACGCUCGUGAGCGGCCAGUUGCGUCUGCUGUGAAAUCCCGGGGCCUCAACCCCGGGCGUGCAGUGGAUACGGGCUGGCUAGAGGCAGGCAGGGGAGAACGGAAUUCCCGGUGUAGCGGUGAAAUGCGCAGAUAUCGGGAGGAACACCGGUGGCGAAGGCGGUUCUCUGGGCCUGUACUGACGCUGAGGAGCGAAA
rnacentral:rRNA from 1 species